GACGAACGCUGGCGGCGUGCCUAAUACAUGCAAGUCGAACGCAGUGGGGACGGGUGAGUAACACGUGGGUAAACUCCCAUCAGAGGGGAUAACACUUGGAAACAGGUGCUAAACCGAUAUUGGUGGAUGGACUCGCGGUGCAUUAGCGAGUUGGGGAGGAAACGGCUCACCAAGGCAACGAUGGAUAGCCGGCCUGGAAGGGUGAUCGGCCACAUGUGGACUGAGACACGGCCAAGACUCCAACGGUAGACAGCAGUAGGGAAUCUUCGGCAAUGGACGAAAGUCUGACCGAGCAACGCCGCGUGAGGGAAGAAGGUUUUCGGAUCGUAAAACUCUGUUGUUAGAGAAUCGGUAUCUAACCAGAAAGCCACGGCUAACUACGUGCCAGCAGCCGCGGUAAUC
rnacentral:rRNA from 1 species